AACACUGUUAACCUGCGGUACCUGCGGAGGGAUCAUUACUGAACUGUCGACACGAGCUGUUGCUGGUCUCCAAACGGGACAUGUGCACGCUCUGUCAACACAUCCACUCACACCUGUGCACCCUCUGUAGUUCUGUGGCCUGGGGAGCUCUGCUCCCUGGCAUGGUUCUACGUCUUUACAUACACUCUGUAACAAAGUCUCGUGGAAUGUGCAUCGCGUAUAACGCAAUACAAUACAACU
rnacentral:misc_RNA from 1 species